AGCAAGGUCAUAAAUAGACCAAUAUGAGUCCUUAGUCCAUAAGCCCAGAGUGAGAGGUUUGUUCUACAAGAAAUUACAUUUGGUGCGAGCCUGUGUACGUGCGUGUGCACGUUUCCCUCUCUGGUGGAUGUUUAUCCCUCACCCUGAUAACCAUCUGCUUCUUUGGGGUGGCAUUCAGUAAGACAAGGAUUUGGAAGAUUCAAAUAAAAAUUUAUUCAGAACAAUGCAUCUCUAAUCCGUGGAAAAAAAUAAAUCUACGAUUGGUGUCUGCUUCAUUCCUGACGCCUCUCUUCAACCUUCACUUGCUGUAUGUGCCGUGUCUGUCUACACAGCAAGGAUGUGGGCAGGAAAUGUGAUGGGCUGGGCGUCUGCUUCAAAGAGUCAGUCCCCAAGGGGGUUUUCUCACACUAAUUUGCUCCCACCCUCUCGAUUACGUUCUUGUUGGCCUCCUUUUGACAACCAUAAUCGAGGCAGAGAGGAUCGUGAAGGUGCACAUGGGCGAGUUCCUAGACAUGGGCGAGUUCCUAGACAUGGGCGUGAAGUUGCAUAAAUGCGGAGUUACCGUAGCACUGCUGAUCGGACAAUGAGUAGCGUACUGUGUCUUAUUCGUCCAGGGUUUUCCUUGGACACAAUGGAAGCUGAUUGGAAGGGGGUGUGGCAGGUAUCAUCAUUGUCCUGGGUCAGGAUACAGGCGUAGCCACAAUUAAAGUCUGUUGGUCAGAGGAAGGACCAUUCUGUUUGCCUGCUAAAUUGCCAUCUCCUUUAGUACAGGGGGUUUAGGAAUGAGAGUGAUUCACACUAUGACCCCAUCUGCUGGACAGGUGUUGAACAGGAAGGAAUGGUCGGUGCUGUGUUUAUUAGAAACACUGAAUUGAUUUGGCCAAACCCAGAGCUUGUAGCAGCAAAAACAGUGAGCCACAUUGUAGAACGAUGUUGCAGUAGUGUCUUUCGGCGAUGUUAAAUUCAUAGUUCUUAAAAGUACAAUCCAGGUUUUUGUUAAAAUAGUUAGUUUUAUGGCGGUUCUUCACGUUGUUUUCAACUAAUUGAAUUCAGUCAUAAAAGUAAUCAGCUAGAAAAGAGAGAAAGGCAAGAGGUAGGUUAAGGUGUUUGUAUCAAAUACUGGAACGAAGACAACCUGCAGCCUAAUGCUGCCUGUUUUUCCCAUCCAAACCAUUAGGGGUUAUUUGUUUUGUCAUGGGUCAAACAUUGGGGUGCAGUCUACUUUGCGGGUCCAACAACAGAUGUCAUUUUUAUUUUAGAGUUGCAAAAACCUUCCCAGACGUUUCGUUAUGGCCCCACAAAUGAACACGACCCAGAGCAAUGAGUGGCAGAGGUCUUUGUUCCUCUGAGGUCAUGUUACUUCCUGCCUGGUCACCCUACUUCCUGUUUCCUCAAAGUUAAUUGUGAGAGGCAGAAGAGUCAUCACUGGUCUACAUGUCUAAAAAAAGGGUUGCAGGGCAUAAAGGGGUGCACUUUUUAUGUCCUGGUGUGGUUGGCGCUAGCGCGGCGUGUACAGAGUUAAUUCCGGAGCCAGUUUGUUUCAUGUCCAUUUGUAGAUGUGUUCCUCAGCAAUGGCGCUGCUGAAGUCUGUAGGGUCUUACAGAGCCUGGGUCGGUCUUUCGCGUUCAUUAUGCUUAACCACAACAAGUGGUCUAGAUGUCUUUUCAGUUUCACAGUCAGUGGUGGAGGAAAUUGCCGGAAAGUAGGGCUCACCAAAAUUGUAAACCCUGCUUACAGGGACCGGAAACGUUUUUUUAACUGUCUGAGUAAUUAACCUUAACUACAAUUUGCAUUCUCACAUUCAAUAAAGCCAGGCUAAGAGAGUCGUGUUUAAGAGCAGCUCUUAGCCACGGUAUAUCGGCUCUCGUGUCUUACUGCUUAACUGUGUGCUACUCGACACGACAAUGGGUCACAGUAACCUAAAGGCACACAAUGUAAUUUAGGACUUCUGCACUGUAGGUGGCGCUAAAUCAGCAAUGUUGUCUUGACACUAUUUUGGGGGUGGGGGGUUAGUGGCACAGAGCCAAAUUUUGAGCAAGGUUGAUGUCUGUUUUGAGCUGCCUCUCAUGUAACAUGUCAAAUUUCAAACUGUUAGCAGUAACAGCAGAGUGUUCAUGUGGUGUCAAGUUCAGUCUGGGGACAAGGGCGGGGGGGUGGGGGGCACAGAGUGUUUACAUGUGUUUUAUUUCAGUCCAGAAUUCACUGUCAAAUUUCAGUAUAGGACAUUAUAUGUCUGACAGAAGGCCUGACCUCAGGAAGUGUUGUGUUUAAUAAAUGUAUUCCUCUCUCUAACUUCCUCUCUCUAACUCCUGUCUCUCGCCCUUCUCUUUCUUUCUCUCGCCCUUCUCUUUCUUUCUCUCGCCCUUCUCUUUCUUUCUCUAGCCCUUCUCUUUCUUUCUCUCGCCCUUCUCUUUCUUUCUCUAGCCCUUCUCUUUCUUUCUCUAGCCCUUCUCUUUCUUUCUCUCGCCUUUCUCUUUCUUUCUCUCGCCCUUCUCUUUCUUUCUCUUAUCAGUCCCUGUCUGUCUCUUCACUCCCUCACAUCUAACGUCUCUUCGUAUGGCUUUUUAUUUGAAUGUAAAAUAUUGUGCUGUUGUGGUGCGUAUUUACAGAGUAUUGUCGUGGUCCAAACAAUGUUAUUGAAUGUUAUUGAGCAGUCAGUCACAAUGUGUCCACAUCACGUCUUAUUUGGUGUCACAAAUGGCUGGUGAUUUCCAAGGUUUUCUUGGGAAGAUCCUUGGAACGAGUCCAUGGGAGCAAGCAAGUGACUUGAUUUGGAUGCUUUAUAUAUCUAGACAGCACUAUAUUUAUUGAUUAGCUAUUUACCAAGAGGUAUUGAUUAGCUGUAUACCAAUAUGUGUCUGUUGUUUCUUGUUCUUGAUGUUAUAAUGGACCUCAUUCAAUGGGUGUUUCACAGAAGAUAUUGAGAAUCAGGCCGUGUUAUGUGUUUUCUAUGAUUUUUGAAUUAUGUCAUUAAAGUAUAUAUGGCUGUUUUUUU
ensembl:lncRNA